rnacentral:rRNA from 1 species
AUUGAACGCUGGCGGCAGGCCUAACACAUGCAAGUCGAACGAGUGGCGGACGGGUGAGUAAUGUCUGGGAAACUGCCUGAUGGAGGGGGAUAACUACUGGAAACGGUAGCUAAUACCGCAUACCAUCAGAUGUGCCCAGAUGGGAUUAGCUAGUUGGUGGGGUAACGGCUCACCAGGGCGACGAGCCCUAGCUGGUCUGAGAGGAUGACCAGCCAAACUGGAAGUGAGACACGGUCCAGAGGCCUAGGGGAGGCAGCAGGGGGGAAUAUUGCACAAUGGGCGCAAGCAUGAUGCAGCCAGGCCGCGUGUAUGAAGAAGGCCUUCGGGUUGUAAAGUACGUUCAGCGGGGAGGCGUUACCCGGAGAAGAAGCACCGGCUAACUCCGUGCCAGCAGCCGCGGUAAUUC